AGAUCUGCAAGUCUCAAACAAAUCCGACCUCGUGGUCGUCAGGUCACAAGAUGAUUAACUACAAGAUGAAAUGGGAAGACAUGUUCCCUUCUUUGACGUCUGUCUAGUGGACUAUCAUACAGUUGUGCUUCCAUGGGGAAGGGUAUCACUGCACCUUUGGAUAUAAAGCCGACAGACUGGUGGAAAGUCAAUGCUGAGAUCUUUCCCAGACAAACAAAUCUGGAACGCCAGUGUCUCUGCACCCCAUCAGCGCCUUCUGAGCGUGUGUUUUCUGCUGUCGGACUGAUUGUGACCCUGUUGGGCUCCAGACAACUGACCAUGUGGACAAGCUUAUUUUCUCAACAAGAAGAGACUGAAUAACUGACAGUAAGUGUGAGCAUGCAGCCGAUGAGAAGAUACCUCCAUCCACGUGAGGACUGGACCGCAGUUGAUCUUGUUGUCGGCGAUGGCAGAGAAGCGGCUCAGGUAGGUGGCCAACAUCUUGGUGACUGACUGAACAGAGACACAAGAUUAUCAAAAUUUAAUGAAGUGUGAA